UCGAGAAUUUUUCACAAUGGGCGAAAGCCUGAUGGAGCGACGCCGCGUGGGGGAUGAAUGGCUUCGGCCCGUAAACCCCUGUCAUUUGCGAACAAACCUUACCGGUUAACAACCGGUGAGCUGAUUGUAGCGAAAGAGGAAGGGACGGCUAACUCUGUGCCAGCAGCCGCGGUAAUACAGAGGUCCCAAGCGUUGUUCGGAUUCACUGGGCGUAAAGGGUGCGUAGGUGGUGAGGUAAGUCGGAUGUGAAAUCUCCGGGCUCAACCCGGAAACUGCAUUGGAAACUGCCUUGCUAGAGGAUUUGAGGGGGGAUUGGAAUACUUGGUGUAGCAGUGAAAUGCGUAGAUAUCAAGUGGAACACCAGUGGCGAAGGCGAAUCCCUGGAAAAUACCUGACACUG
rnacentral:rRNA from 1 species